GAGAACUUGCCCUUCGGGGUAGAUCUCCCACCCUUUGUUUAUCAUACUUUGUUGCUUUGGCGGGCCUGCCUCACGGCUGCUGGCGCAAGCUGGCUCGUGCCCGCCAGAGACCCCCAAACUCUGAAUAUUGUCGUCUGAGUAAUAUAUAAUAAGUUAAAACUUUCAACAACGGAUCUCUUGGUUCU
rnacentral:misc_RNA from 1 species